UGGAAUUCCUCCCAGCAGAGGGCACUCAGUUGGCAGGAUCGCCAGUGCCAACGUAAUCCCCCCAGGGGAAUCCCCAGACCAGAUUUUCAGCUUUGCCCAUCCACACUGAGAACCUGCACUCUCCUGACUAUGACUCACCCUGCACACCACAUGUUUUUACCAGGGUUGUAUUUGAAACCUGGCCAGGCAACCUGUUCCAAAGGCUGAGAGAAGGUUUUGUUCUUUGGAGCUCUCCUGCAUCUCUCAAUAACCCGAGCAAGACACAAACAAUCGCUGUGACUCCUAUGAAUCACAGGAUUUUAGAUUGUCCCCUGAUUUCUGUAACCACAAUCAUGCAGGCUAGGCAUGGGAUAAGCUGAAAACAGCUGGUUAUAUUUCCAGUACAAUUUAAAAAAGUGUGAGUGCAUGAUUUAACUUAAUUGCAGAUUGGAUUGUAGACUGCAGAUUGAACAACAAACACUGUUUGAUAUGGGAAUGAGAUUUUAGUUUUUAAGGCUGGUUUCUGGGUACAGAUGGUAACUUGCAAGGUUUAAAUUCAAACAAGUGAAGUAAAGGGGUGUAAUAUUUAAAAUAAUGCAAAUGAUCCUGUCUAAACCUGCGAUAUAAAAGCAUUGCUUGUUCCUGCGUACUUGCAUAUAAACAUUUGUGUGUGUGUCAACAAGGUUCAUCAAAAUACCUAAAACACUGCUUUAUAUUUGUCCUUUAAUUUACUGUACAUAGAAAUCUUUAUAUUGAUUAACUGUCAAGCAUUUCCUAGAGUUUAUUAACUGUGAAGUCUAAUAUCUAUUAAGCAGCAAUAUCUUCUUCCUAAUUGCUACAGCACUCUAGGGUCUGCAGUCCCUCAUGAGUGGAAGGCUUGCUACUAUGUAAUUUAUGUUACUAUUAGGGACCUAACAGUACACUUACAGAUAUACAGAAUUUAGACAACACAAAAAUGCAAUAUCCUGCCCACAAAUUUGUGUAAAUGGUCAAUUUGAAUUCAUUAGUGGCCUAAUUGUAUUUUAAACUGAAAAAACAACUCUACUUGACAAACUCUCAAAACAGUACAGUUUAUAACAGAGCUAAUGACCUCUGUGUCAGCCUUUAUUUAGUUCAGUGUCAUUUUCACUGAAAAGAGGGAAAUGGUUGAUGAAGAGAAUACUGUUAAGUGGCUGAGACAGGUGUGCAAUUUUGAUGUAACUGUUUUGAAAUAAAAUUAAAAUUUAAAUGACAUUUUAAAGCAGGUAAUGGCAACACUAGCAAUAUUAAGAAUAAAGCAUGUCUGAAACUCAAUAAGGUGCAGUUGAUGUUAAGAAUGGGGGUUCUUUGUGAUACAUCAUAGUAUACAGGAAACAAAACUGGUGCUUUGAUUAGCAGAAAAAUCCCAAGCAGUACCAUACUAUUAUUAAUAUGUCUAUUUGCCCUUAUUUGCUAUAUAAACAUUUAUUGAUAUAACAUUUUCAGGUAAUUCUUUCAUAUUGU